rnacentral:rRNA from 1 species
UACAGAGGGUGCGAGCGUUAAUCGGAGUUACUGGGCGUAAAGGGCGCGUAGGUUGUUUGUAGAGUGAAUUGUGAAAUAACUGGGCUUAACCUGGUAUAGCAGUUCAAACGUACAGACUAGAGGACAGUAGAGGGUAGAGGAAUUUCCGGUGUAGCGGUGAAAUGCGUAGAUAUCGGAAGGAACAUCAUUGGCGAAGGCGUCUACCUGGACUGUAACUGACACUGAGGCGCGAAAGCGUGGGUAGCGAACAGG